CCUGACGGUAAUUAGGGGCGCCAUCAAUCUGAGGAGUUAGUCGCUUGUUUUGACAGCCAGGGAAAUGGUCGCUCUUUAGAAUGGUCUUCUUUCCCAGCACUGAUCCACCUCUGAGCUUCAUCACCUGCUCCAAUUCCUUAGAGGCAAUGCUGCAAGCAAAUUUAUAAUCAAGCAGGCAGAUGAUUGUAAAAAGCUGUAAAAAAGAAUUGUGAUUUGUGAUUGGGUUUGGCCAAAGAAGAACAACAAAUGUUUGCAGGGGAAGAAAAGGGGGGAAAUGUGAUAAAGGGGAGGGAUAAGAGAAAGGGAUAGAGAUAGAGAUAGAGAUAGAGACGGAUGUAUAUUAUAAAGCCCAGCAAGCAACAACUUUUAUUUGGGUCUGGUCUGGAGCUUGGGGGCAUUUGUAUCCAAAAAUAUAAAAUUUUCACUUUGUUUUGUGUGAGAGGUGGUGGGGUAGAGAGGCGCAAACACUGCAGUAAUAUUCCUCCAUCAUCCAGCUCCAGGGUUCAUCAUAAUCGUCUGUACUCUCCUCUCUCUGCUCUCUCCUCUGCCUUGCCUGACAAAGAAACGUGGAAGGCGUGUAGUAUUUAAAUUGAGUUUCGAGUUUUCCUUUUU